rnacentral:rRNA from 1 species
AACGAACGCUGGCGGCAGGCCUAACACAUGCAAGUCGAGCGCACCCUUCGGGGUGAGCGGCGGACGGGUGAGUAACGCGUGGGAACGUGCCCUUCUCUGCGGAAUAGCCUCGGGAAACUGAGAGUAAUACCGCAUACGCCCUUUGGGGGAAAGAUUUAUCGGAGAAGGAUCGGCCCGCGUUGGAUUAGGUAGUUGGUGGGGUAAUGGCCCACCAAGCCGACGAUCCAUAGCUGGUUUGAGAGGAUGAUCAGCCACACUGGGACUGAGACACGGCCCAGACUCCUACGGGAGGCAGCAGUGGGGAAUCCUAGACAAUGGGGGCAACCCUGAUCUAGCCAUGCCGCGUGAGUGAUGAAGGCCUUAGGGUUGUAAAGCUCUUUCAGCUGGGAAGAUAAUGACGGUACCAGCAGAAGAAGCCCCGGCUAACUCCGUG